AUAUAUCAACCUCUACAACUUUUGUUUGUUGAGUUGUUGGAUGUGGGGGCUUUUGCUGGCUUCUCUCUGAGGUCAGCUCCCCUGAAAUACAUUAGCGGAACGAUCCCCGUUCAUUGGUGUGAUAACUAUCUACGCUAUUGACGUGAAGUAGUUUGGCUUAUAACAGUCCAUUGACUUGGACAAAAUUUUCAUUA
rnacentral:misc_RNA from 1 species